CCCCAAUGUUGCAAAUUAAUGCUUUUAAAUCUAGUAUAUAUAGUUGAUGUGUUUCCCUUGGAUUUAGUUUGUAAACCGAAUUUGUUUUUUUUCUCUAAAUCGAUUUAUGACUUUUGAACACCGGUAUACUACUGUUACAUUUAUGUACGAUGGAAAAAUAUUGUAGGUCUUGCAAGUUUUCUUUGAUAUUGAUUGUUUGUUUUUUUUUUUUUUUUUGUUGUUUUUUUUUGUUUUUUGGUCUUAAUCAUUUUGUAUUCAAUAUCAUAGAUUGGAGGGAAAAAACUCUAUUCUAAAAAUAAUUGCUAAAUUAUAUCGAAUCUUUUUGGUGUCAAGCCUUAUACUUUCUACCUUGGGGUGAAUUGUUUAUUGCAAAUGAAAAGGUAAACACUAAGCAUCAAAUGAUUUAAAAAGAAGACUGAUGCAAACUUAGAACGCCUAAAGUUAAACACAGGGAAGAAAAUCAACCUAUACGACAAGGUUAUCCAUUACGUUACCGAGAUUGACCAUUAUAAAAUAGAUAAAGAACACUAAACAUAGUUAUAACGGAAUACGAG
rnacentral:lncRNA from 1 species